rnacentral:rRNA from 1 species
AGUUCAGAUUGCAGGCUGNAACCCGCCUGCAUGAAGUCGGAAUUGCUAGUAAUCGCGGAUCAGCAUGCCGCGGUGAAUACGUUCCCGGGCCUUGUACACACCGCCCGUCACACCAUGAGAGUCGGUAACACCCGAAGCCUGUGAGCUAACCGUAAGGAGGCAGCAGUCGAAGGUGGGAUCGAUAAUUGGGGUGAAGUCGUAACAAGGUAAC